ACGCACGCUGGCAGCGUGCUUAACACAUGCAAGUCGAGCGGUGAAGCGCCUUCCUUUUUGGUGGGUGUGGAUGAGUGGCGAACGGGUGAGUAACACGUGAGUAACCUGCCCCCUUCUUCUGGAUAACCGCAUGAAAGUGUGGCUAAUACGGGAUAUUCUGGGUCUGUCGCAUGAUGGGUCUGGGAAAGAUAUUGUUUCGGUGGGGGAUGGGCUCGCGGCCUAUCAGCUUGUUGGUGGGGUGAUGGCCUACCAAGGCGGUGACGGGUAGCCGGCCUGAGAGGGUGGACGGUCACACUGGGACUGAGACACGGCCCAGACUCCUACGGGAGGCAGCAGUGGGGAAUAUUGCACAAUGGGCGCAAGCCUGAUGCAGCGACGCCGCGUGAGGGAUGGAGGCCUUCGGGUUGUGAACCUCUUUCGCCAGUGAAGCAGGCCUGCCUCGUUUGUGGGUGGGUUGACGGUAGCUGGAUAAGAAGCGCCGGCUAACUACGUG
rnacentral:rRNA from 1 species